UCCUACGGGGGGCAGCAGUAGGGAAUUUUCGUCAAUGGGCGCAAGCCUGAACGAGCAAUGCCGCGUGAACGAGGAAGGUCUUCGGAUCGUAAAGUUCUGUUGAAGGGGAAAAAGAGCGGAGAGAGGAAAUGGUCUCCGAUUGAUAUUACCCUUCGAGGAAGUCACGGCUAACUACGUGCCAGCAGCCGCGGUAAUACGUAGGUGGCGAGCGUUAUCCGGAAUGAUUGGGCGUAAAGGGUGCGUAGGCGGCCUGCUAAGUCUGGAGUGAAAGGUACCGGCUCAACCGGUACAGGCUGUGGAAACUG
rnacentral:rRNA from 1 species